ACUCGAACUCGGAUCCUUCAGAAUGGAAAGGUGAAGCAUUUCCACGCGGCCAAUCGGCCGACUUUUUACCGCUCGGCCAGCACAUAAUGUCAGAUAACGACAAGGUUCGACAUUACGGCAUGGUUCGUAGUGAAGUCCUGUAUGCCGUCAUUGUGUGUUUAUUAAAAAAAGGAAAAAAAAUGAAAAAUUCAGACAUUAUGAUCUUAUAGCAAAAUAAAGUACUGUAUUUGAAAUAUUAAAUUUAUAUAAACAUAAAAUCCAACAUAUCGAACAUCGAUGUAUGACGCCAUGAUUUUAUGAAGUCGCUAUCUAUUUAUUAAAAAGGGAAGAAACAAACAUUUAUAGCGAAGUACAGUAUAUUCUUCGUUACCAAAUAAAAUGUCAACAUCUUUUGGCGCCACCAUGAUGUCAUGAUGGCGUCAUAGGCUGAUGCGUAUUUCUGAUUUCACCCAUUUCGGCCUUAAACUGAUGUCAUUCGUCGAUAUUUUGUGACAUCAACCACUUUACGUCACCGCGAGACGAUGACCACGCUACUAAGGCUGCAUAUAAAGAGUAUACUCAUCGGCUACCAUUUUUGGUCGGUAGUCGAUGCGCGUUGGUAUCGUGAUUGGUGCACUUUUCUGCCGAUAUGGGAGGUGUUUCAGCUCCGAAUUGUACAAAUAGCUCUCGAAAAGAGUUCUGGCUCUUUAUAUUUCCAAGAAAUAUGGAUAGAAGUACAAUUUGAGUACAGAAUUGUUGUCACGACAGAUGGAAACAAUAGCUAAUUCGAAACUUUAUGAAACAAGUAUUGAAGUUAAUAUGUAAUGAGAAUUAGAAACAUAUUCUAAAAUGGCAAAAAAGCUAAACAAAGAUGUACCGAUGAGUCAGGUUCAACUGCUAAAAAAGCUAAACAAAGAUGUACCGAUGAGUCAGGUUCAACUGCUAAAAAACUAAAAGUUAUGUAAUAUGUUGAAAAUUUUAUCGAGUUGGUUCUAUUUUUUUCACUUGUGGUCGGUUAUAUACAAUAUAAACAAUAUUACAUUACAUAACUUGUGACCAGUUAUAAACAAUAUUUAUUUUAAAGCAUUUUUAGAGAGAAAUUUAAGUUUCAAAUAUGAAACUCGCUAAAAUUUUAACGAAUCUGGGAUGAUGAAAAUUAGUCAGCCAGAGGUAAUUAACAAUAAAAAAGUGUUAAAUAAAAAUACUUCAAUUUUACCAAAAAAUCUUUGCACAACAGUUUUUAAUCGAUAAGAAAUCUCAUCAUACACACUCGGUCUAUACCAGUGAUGUUCAAUCU
rnacentral:lncRNA from 1 species